rnacentral:rRNA from 1 species
UACGUAGGGUGCAAGCGUUAUCGGAAUUACUGGGCGUAAAGCGUGCGCAGGCGGCUAUGCAAGACAGAUGUGAAAUCCCCGGGCUCAACCUGGGAACUGGCAUUUGUGACUGCAUAGCUAGAGUACGGGUAGAGGGGGAUGGAAUUCCGCGUGUAGCAGUGAAAUGCGUAGAUAUGCGGAGGAACACCGAUGGCGAAGGCAAUCCCCUGGACCUGUACUGACGCUCAUGCACGAAAGCGUGGGGGAGCAAACGAGG